GACGAACGCUGGCGGCGUGCUUAACACAUGCAAGUCGAACGGAAAGGCCCUGCUUUUGUGGGGUGCUCGAGUGGCGAACGGGUGAGUAACACGUGAGUAACCUGCCCUUGACUUUGGGAUAACUUCAGGAAACUGGGGCUAAUACCGGAUAGGAGCUCCUGCUGCAUGGUGGGGGUUGGAAAGCUUCGGCGGUUGGGGAUGGACUCGCGGCUUAUCAGCUUGUUGGUGGGGUAGUGGCUUACCAAGGCUUUGACGGGUAGCCGGCCUGAGAGGGUGACCGGCCACAUUGGGACUGAGAUACGGCCCAGACUCCUACGGGAGGCAGCAGUGGGGAAUAUUGCACAAUGGGCGGAAGCCUGAUGCAGCAACGCCGCGUGCGGGAUGACGGCCUUCGGGUUGUAAACCGCUUUCGCCUGUGACGAAGCGUGAGUGACGGUAAUGGGUAAAGAAGCACCGGCUAACUACGUGCCAGCAGCCGCGGUGAUACGUAGGGUGCGAGCGUUGUCCGGAUUUAUUGGGCGUAAAGGGCUCGUAGGUGGUUGAUCGCGUCGGAAGUGUAAUCUUGGGGCUUAACCCUGAGCGUGCUUUCGAUACGGGUUGACUUGAGGAAGGUAGGGGAGAAUGGAAUUCCUGGUGGAGCGGUGGAAUGCGCAGAUAUCAGGAGGAACACCAGUGGCGAAGGCGGUUCUCUGGGCCUUUCCUGACGCUGAGGAGCGAAAGCGUGGGGAGCGAACAGGCUUAGAUACCCUGGUAGUCCACGCUGUAAACGGUGGGUACUAGGUGUGGGGUCCAUUCCACGGGUUCCGUGCCGUAGCUAACGCUUUAAGUACCCCGCCUGGGGAGUACGGCCGCAAGGCUAAAACUCAAAGGAAUUGACGGGGCCCCGCACAAGCGGCGGAGCAUGCGGAUUAAUUCGAUGCAACGCGUAGAACCUUACCUGGGUUUGACAUGGAUCGGGAGUGCUCAGAGAUGGGUGUGCCUCUUUUGGGGUCGGUUCACAGGUGGUGCAUGGCUGUCGUCAGCUCGUGUCGUGAGAUGUUGGGUUAAGUCCCGCAACGAGCGCAACCCUUGUUCACUGUUGCCAGCACGUUAUGGUGGGGACUCAGUGGAGACCGCCGGGGUCAACUCGGAGGAAGGUGGGGAUGACGUCAAGUCAUCAUGCCCCUUAUGUCCAGGGCUUCACGCAUGCUACAAUGGCUGGUACAGAGAGUGGCGAGCCUGUGAGGGUGAGCGAAUCUCGGAAAGCCGGUCUCAGUUCGGAUUGGGGUCUGCAACUCGACCUCACGAAGUCGGAGUCGCUAGUAAUCGCAGAUCAGCAACGCUGCGGUGAAUACGUUCCCGGGGCU
rnacentral:rRNA from 1 species